CAGGAUUAGAUACCCUGGUAGUCCACGCCGUAAACGAUGAGUGCUAGAUAUCGGAAGAUUCUCUUUCGGUUUCGCAGCUAACGCAUUAAGCACUCCGCCUGGGGAGUACGGUCGCAAGAUUAAAACUCAAAGGAAUUGACGGGGGCUCGCACAAGCGGUGGAGCAUGCGGUUUAAUUCGAUGUUACGCGAAAAACCUUACCAACCCUUGACAUGGUGGUCGCGGAUCGCAGAGAUGCUUUUCUUCAGCUCGGCUGGAUCACACACAGGUGUUGCAUGGCUGUCGUCAGCUCGUGUCGUGAGAUGUUGGGUUAAGUCCCGCAACGAGCGCAACCCUCAUUCUUAUUUGCCAGCGGGUAAUGCCGGGAACUAUAAGAAAACUGCCGGUGAUAAGCCGGAGGAAGGUGGGGACGACGUCAAGUCAUCAUGGCCCUUACGGGUUGGGCUACACGCGUGCUACAAUGGUGUUUACAGAGGGAAGCAAGACGGCGACGUGGAGCAAAUCCCUAAAAGACAUCUCAGUUCGGAUUGUUCUCUGCAACUCGAGAGCAUGAAGUUGGAAUCGCUAGUAAUCGCGGAUCAGCAUGCCGCGGUGAAUACGUUCUCGGGCCUUGUACACACUGCCCGUCACGCCAUGGGAGUUGGUUUUACCUGAAGG
rnacentral:rRNA from 1 species